GAAUUUUGCGCAAUGGGGGAAACCCUGACGCAGCAACGCCAUGUGUGGGAUGAAGCAUUUCGGUGUGUAAACCACUGUCAGUAGGGACUAAACGACAGCUUCGGGCUGUUUUGAAUGUACCUACAGACGAAGCCCCGGCUAACUUCGGUCCCGCCGCCGCGGUAAUACGAGGGGGGCAAAUGUUGUUCGGAAUCACUGGGCGUAAAGGGAGCGUAGGCGGGUUUCUAAGUAAGGUGUUUAAUCCCGGGGCCUAACCCCGGACAGGCACUUUAAACUGGAAGUCUUGAAUAGUGGAGAGGUCAGUGGAAUUGGGGGUGUAGCGGUGGAAUGCGUAGAGAUCCCCAAGAACACCAGUUGCGAAGGCGGCUGACUGGACACAUAUUGACGCUGAGGCUCGAAAGCAUGGGGAGCAAACAGG
rnacentral:rRNA from 1 species